AAUGGCAAGUAUGUAAACUAAGCUCUUUUUACCUGAGUCUUGCAAGGUAGGGCUCUCUUUUAUAUGGACAAGGGGGCAGGGUGAGUAGACAUGUUCCACAUGUAUAAGGUCCUAGAAUGACCCACAAAUACUGAUGAAUACACGACAUUAAAACCUAAACUACAAAACCUUCCAGUUUAAAUGACUUAUGACUGUUUUCGUAGCAAAACAUUUUAUUUACUCUUUUGUAGCAUUUUUGCUUCUGUAGAAGUCAAGAAUUUUAACUCGCAGAAGUUGAAUAGAUUGACCGUCAUACUCGUUACCAAAGAAGGAGACGCGACAAGGACAAACUGUAAGAAUGAUGCAUCACUGAAAGUUCUGGAAAGCCAGCUCAAAAGUGGAAUUACAUAUCGGUGCAAAGAUGUUACCCAGUCACAACUUCAGUCCUGCAUUGUUUAGUGGUGACUUCAGUUCAGUCACGCAAAAGCCUUUCCACUGCCUAUCCAAAAGCCUGAUGUGUUCAUUUCCUAAUAUCCUCAAAAUAUAUGUUCGGGAGAAAAGUGUGUUGCUUUGACAUAGCAGUAAAGAACCCAAAUGAGAAAAGUGUGCUGCUUUGACAGCAGUGAAGAACCCCAAUGAUAAAAGUGUGCUGCUUUGACAGCAGUGAAGAACCCCAAUGAGAUAUCUUUCCAUAGUUUUAGUUUGUAGCAGAGAGACAGGGAGAGAUAAAGAUACAAAGAACAGGGUAGUGAUACCUUUAUGAAUGUGAUUCGUCAUUUGGGGAAGUCAGGACAGGGAUUAAUGUGUGGUGUCAGAGGAAGACUGUAUACUAAAUAUCACUUCAACUAGACUUGAGGACCAGAAUGAUACUUUACUUUAAGACGUGUUGUUUGUUGUCUAUUCUAUUUCAGUUAGGAUUACUACAAAAGAAUGAUUUGCAUAAGAUUUCACCAAUAUGGAAUUAUCUUUAUUAAUUUCUACAAUAAAGUUUAGCAGCCACAAGGGACUGGUAAUCAAAGUCACUAAUUUGUAACUCAGAAAUAAUUGAAACUGAAAUGCAAUCAUCAGUCCUGGCAUAACCAGUAACUAGCAUCAGUUUGAACCACCUUGUACAAAUAACUAUUUGAGUUGUCUUUCUUAUUCUGUUGGAUUAUAGCUAUACAUUACUGAGUACCUCUCCAAUAUCUGUCACUCAGUGGGGUUUGUAUUGUUGUCACCCUUUUAAAAUCCAAUAUGAAACAUGUGUUUUAAGUUGUAUUUGCUAAUGAGCUUACC